CCUGCAAAUAGGAGCGGUAGACAACACAAAUCGGUGUUUGUUAAAAAUUUAAUCGAAAUAAUCGCAUUCCUACUGCGCAUUACUUAAGGCGCAGGAGUGUUUAUGUAUGAAUAACUAAAGUGCAUUUGUUUCAUUGUCUUUAAAAAGGAAACGACCAAAUCAUUCAAUCGUGUCGAAUUGCUACUAUGCAUUACAGCUGCUUCGUGGAGGAAUAAAGUGUACGAAACCAACCAUAACGGCGGUGUGCCUUUCGCUUUUGGCGCGUGCCACUACAAGAACGCUAUUCCAAAUUCUACACUCAAAACACCUCCCUCCCCAACAAAACAAGUGAAAAGGGAAUCUUUCCUGGCUCUAAACAAUCCAAUCCAACCUCUAGCAACAAUCAUCCAAAGCAAAACAGAGAAAUUUACAGUGGAGAUAAGGAAGCACCUAGAAGAAGUUGUCAGUAACACGAUAGCCACCAGGGUCAUGGUCGAGGCGGCACUGUGUGUGUGUGAGUGUAUUAUCUGAUCAGUAACCGCAAAUAGCGUCAACAUCCAAUACCGGAGACUUGAGCUUUCUGCUAUGGUUUAGAAUAACGGCCGGAAGAUGCACUCCCCUCCUGUGAUUGGUUUAUUUACUCAGAUUUUAAUGCAUUUCCAAGAAAGCGUCCCGGGAUUUCCCCCCUGAAACACUGCAAUGCACUAUCAGCUCUCAGCUAUAGGCAACGUUUCGUGCAUCUCACGUGCUUCGUUCAGUUUUAGCAUGUAAAUAACACACCGUGGAGGCAUUGCUAAACAAUGCAAACCAUUGGUAUGGGACACAUUUUAUCACCCCUGUAUCUUACAUCACACUUGUGAGGGGGGUUUUCUAAGUAUUUCGAACGAACGACGAGUUACCUAGCAAUCGUUUAAAGCUGCAUCUCUACCGGCAAGUGUUGUUUGAUCAUGAUAAGAAGCAGACGAAGAAGUGUAGCUAGAAGGAACUAUUACAUUUCUUUACACAUGGGCACGAGAUAGCAACGAGAAACUUGAUGUGGCGAGUGUUCUGAAGGUAAAUAAGAUACGUUUGAAUUUUGCAAUAGUUGUUGGGCUGAAGUCACCACGACCAACAAGUAUGGGGAUCCUUUAAGUAGGUUAGCAAUCUGGACCAAUGGUGGACGGGGUGGAAUGAUCAAACAAACGUAAAGUACUUCCCAAUCACUUGAAGAGGUACUACUUGUAACGUUGAAUGGAAUGGUAAGGCUUAAAAUAGUUCCUGCGUAUAGUAAACAAACAUUGACACGUUUCACACAGUGGAUAAAACCCCCUCCCGUACAGGAACUGCGCCGUUCCGCGCUGAGCUGCGCAAAGGUACACAUCAGCCCCGUGUGGACUUGAGUCACCAGCCAUCCAAGUGAUAAGCGAGUUAACAUCCCCAGCAAGGGAACUACGAAUCCUUGGACGCAUGCACUCACCUCUUCGGGGCAUUAUUAGCUACGUACCUGGCGUUUUGCGCCUUUUCUUUGUUUACCCUGUCGAUAUCCCACCAGGAAGUGGCCAACUAUUUUGGGCUGUUUACAUGUCCCCGAAAUUAAACCCAACCAUGCGUGCGAUUAGCUCGGCACGAAGAAAAAACACACAGGAACAGGAAUAAACUGGCUGCUUUAUCAGAGUUUCGUUCGGGGACAA